rnacentral:RNase_P_RNA from 1 species
GAGGAAAGUCCGGGCUCCUUCGGACAGGGCGCCAGGUAACGCCUGGGGGGCGUGAGCCCAUGGAAAGUGCCACAGAAAAUAUACCGCCAGCUUUGGCUGGUAAGGGUGAAAUGGUGCGGUAAGAGCGCACCGCGCAACUGGUAACAGGUGUGGCAUGGUAAACCCCGCUCGGAGCAAGACCAAAUAGGGGGACGUUAUGCGUGGUCCGCGCUGUUCCCGGGUAGGUCGCUUGAGGUACAUGGUGACAUGUUACCCAGAUGAAUGAUUGCCCACGACAGAAUCCGGCUUA